AUUGAACGCUGGCGGCAUGCUUUACACAUGCAAGUCGAACGGCAGCGCGGGCUUCGGCCUGGCGGCGAGUGGCGAACGGGUGAGUAAUGCAUCGGAACGUGCCCAGUAGUGGGGGAUAGCCCGGCGAAAGCCGGAUUAAUACCGCAUACGACCUGAGGGUGAAAGCGGGGGACCGAAAGGCCUCGCGCUAUUGGAGCGGCCGAUGUCGGAUUAGCUAGUUGGUGGGGUAAAGGCUUACCAAGGCGACGAUCCGUAGCUGGUCUGAGAGGACGGCCAGCCACACUGGGACUGAGACACGGCCCAGACUCCUACGGGAGGCAGCAGUGGGGAAUUUGGGACAAUGGGGGCAACCCUGAUCCAGCCAUGCCGCGUGCGGGAAGAAGGCCUUCGGGUUGUAAACCGCUUUUGUUCGGGAAGAAAUCCUCUGGGCUAAUACCCCGGGGGGAUGACGGUACCGGAAGAAUAAGCACCGGCUAACUACGUG
rnacentral:rRNA from 1 species